GGUAGGAGAGCGUUCUAAGGGCGUUGAAGCAUGAUCGCAAGGACAUGUGGAGCGCUUAGAAGUGAGAAUGCCGGUGUGAGUAGCGAAAGACGGGUGAGAAUCCCGUCCACCGAUUGACUAAGGUUUCCAGAGGAAGGCUCGUCCGCUCUGGGUUAGUCGGGUCCUAAGCUGAGGCCGAUAGGCGUAGGCGAUGGAUAACAGGUUGAUAUUCCUGUACCACCAUUAUUCGUUUUAAGCGAUGGGGGGACGCAGUAGGAUAGGCGAAGCGUACGAUUGGAUUGUACGUCCAAGCAGUGAGAUUGAGUGUUAGGCAAAUCCGGCACUCUUAAGAUUGAGCUGUGAUGGGGAGAGGAAAUUGUUUCCUCGAGUCGUUGAUUUCACACUGCCAAGAAAAGCCUCUAGCUAGAAUUGUGGUGCCCGUACCGCAAACCGACACAGGUAGUCAAGAUGAGAAUUCUAAGGUGAGCGAGCGAACUCUCGUUAAGGAACUCGGCAAAAUGACCCCGUAACUUCGGGAGAAGGGGUGCUCUUUAGGGUUAACGCC
rnacentral:rRNA from 1 species